rnacentral:misc_RNA from 1 species
GAUGAAGAACGCAGCGAAAUGCGAUAAGUAAUGUGAAUUGCAGAAUUCAGUGAAUCAUCGAAUCUUUGAACGCACAUUGCGCCCUCUGGUAUUCCGGGGGGCAUGCCUGUUCGAGCGUCAUUUCAACCCUCAAGCUCAGCUUGGUAUUGGGAGCUGGCCCCCCUGGGGCCUUCCCGAAACACAUCGGCGAUGCGGCCGGAUUCCCAGCGCAGUGACUUUUAAUCUCGCUGAUUGGAUCCCCGGGCGAUGUCUGCCGGAUAACAACAAUUUUUUUCAAAAGAUUGACCUCGGAUCAGGUAGGGAUACCCGCUGAACUUAAGCAUAUCAAUAAGCGGAGGA